UGGCUAUCCUGUUUUGAAGUCCUUCUGUAGAGAUGUCCCACCCCGAAAUGAAGCCUGGGAGGCCGUGGCGGCAGACGUCGGGCUGCCGCUUGAAAAAUGCAUAAAAAUGUGGUUGAAAGUGCGUUCGCGGGCGAGUAAGUGCUACCUAAGAAAUAGUAGAAACCCGCACCAUGAGUUGUUGCGAACGCACUGUUGCAACGUCCUAAAGCCCAUCCUAACCCACAUGCGCCGCAGAACUCGAAAUCCUCUAACCUCAAACCCAAACGCAAAAACCCAGAUAACCGAAAGCCACCACUCGAAGGGGUCUUCUAUCUCUAUCACCAGCACCCGUAGUACUGUUAAACACUAUAAGGAUACCAAUCAGUCCAUCAUCAAUGCACAAAAAACAGCACAUCUGCAAGAGAACACACCUGCCCUAGCGCACCUCAACACGAACAGCACACCAAUCAUGACCACUUCUGCAUUCUAUGCUGUUCCUUCCCGUUCUUGCCUAUCUCCACCUCCCCUAGUACCCUUAAACACUAACAGCACACCAAUCAUAAAUCAAAAACAAAACAGAUCAACCUGAUAUUGGUCACCGGUGGGAGAAAAUUGGUCACCAGUGGCAGUAUGUGGGCAUCAAAACAUUUAAGAUGCCUCAGGAGAAGAGAAUAGAAUUCCGAAACGCUGUAAAUAGUUAUUUAAGCAAUUCUAAUUAAUACGUUAAGUUUUAAGCAAUAUAUAUAGUAAUAGUAACAUGUUAUAGUAUUGUAUUCGCAAAUAUUUCGGAUUAUUUUGAAAGAGAACUGAUAAAACUUUUUAUCUCGCUCAACGAAUUGGCGAUUGAUCUUUUUCGGCGAAUAAUAUUUCUCAGCAUAAUCAAACGUGGCGAACUUGAAAAGAAAACUGCUAUUUUUUCCCCAAUGUUUAAACAUUCAACGUCUAUCGAACUUAAGAAAUUAGGUGCCAUUUUCCCCAAUGCCAAUUUUGAUGCCAAUUAGAUUGAAAUCAUUUGCCACAUAGCAAAACAGGAA